rnacentral:rRNA from 1 species
GACGUAGGGCGCAAGCGUUGUCCGGAUUUAUUGGGCGUAAAGAGCGUGUAGGCGGCUUUACAGGUCCGUUGUGAAAACUCGAGGCUCAACCUCGAGACGCCGGUGGAAACCGUAAGGCUAGAGUCCGGAAGAGGUAAGUGGAACUGCGAGUGUAGAGGUGAAAUUCGUAGAUAUUCGCAAGAACACCAGUGGCGAAGGCGGCUUACUGGUCCGGUUCUGACGCUGAGGCGCGAAAGCGUGGGGAGCAAACAGG